UCUGGGACAAGCCUUGGAAACGAGGUCUAAUACCGGAUAUUACCUGUCCUCGCAUGGGGAUGGGUGGAAAGCUCCGGCGGUGCAGGAUGAUCCCGCGGCCUAUCAGCUUGUUGGUGGGGUAAUGGCCUACCAAGGCGACGACGGGUAGCCGGCCUGAGAGGGCGACCGGCCACACUGGGACUGAGACACGGCCCAGACUCCUACGGGAGGCAGCAGUGGGGAAUAUUGCACAAUGGGCGAAAGCCUGAUGCAGCGACGCCGCGUGAGGGAUGAAGGCCUUCGGGUCGUAAACCUCUUUCAGCAGGGAAGAAGCGCAAGUGACGGUACCUGCAGAAGAAGCACCGGCUAACUACGUGCCAGCAGCCGCGGUAAUACGUAGGGUGCGAGCGUUGUCCGGAAUUAUUGGGCGUAAAGAGCUCGUAGGCGGCUUGUCGCGUCGGAUGUGAAAGCCCGGGGCUUAACCCCGGGUCUGCAUACGAUACGGGCAGGCUAGAGUGUGGUAGGGGAGAUCGGAAUUCCUGGUGUAGCGGUGAAAUGCGCAGAUAUCAGGAGGAACACCGGUGGCGAAGGCGGAUCUCUGGGCCAUUACUGACGCUGAGGAGCGAAAGCGUGGGGAGCGAACAGGAUUAGAUACCCUGGUAGUCCACGCCGUAAACGGUGGGAACUAGGUGUUGGCGACAUUCCACGUCGUCGGUGCCGCAGCUAACGCAUUAAGUUCCCCGCCUGG
rnacentral:rRNA from 1 species